rnacentral:rRNA from 1 species
GAUGAACGCUGGCGGCGUGCCUAAUACAUGCAAGUCGAGCGAAUGGAUUAAGAGCUUGCUCUUAUGAAGUUAGCGGCGGACGGGUGAGUAACACGUGGGUAACCUGCCCAUAAGACUGGGAUAACUCCGGGAAACCGGGGCUAAUACCGGAUAACAUUUUGAACCGCAUGGUUCGAAAUUGAAAGGCGGCUUCGGCUGUCACUGAUGGAUGGACACGCGUCGCAUUAGCUAGUUGGGGAGGUAACGGCUCACCAAGGCAACGAUGCGUAGCCGACCUGAGAGGGUGAUCGGCCACACUGGGACUGAGACACGGCCCAGACUCCUACGGGAGGCAGCAGUAGGGAAUCUUCCGCAAUGGACGAAAGUCUGACGGAGCAACGCCGCGUGAGUGAUGAAGGCUUUCGGGUCGUAAAACUCUGUUGUUAGGGAAGAACAAGUGCUAGUUGAAUAAGCUGGCACCUUGACGGUACCUAACCAGAAAGCCACGGCUAACUACGUGCCAGCCGCCGCGGUAA